UGACAAAUACAAUUAGAUUUGAUUUAAGAUAUGUUAUGUUUUGGUGUGUGAUUCUUUCAUUCAACACAUGAUAAAGCCGCUCUUGCAGUGGCAAGACAUUAAUAUGUCGUAGUUCCAGCAUGGUUUUAGACUAGAGAAUCUGCUUGUUUAGAUGCUUUGGGAUGGAUGAUGGAUCCUCUCCAAAUGCAUCUUAUCCAAAAUCCUCGUUCCAUCUGCCAGCUUGCUCACAAAUGAUCCACACAGCAGGAUCAUGGCACACAGCUACACUGCAUCGACAGUUCUGUGUGUUGAGGUUGUACAGUAUGCGUUGCGUAGCAUGCAGGGUGAGUUAUGAUGUCCACUCCACUCUGCACCAAGCAGCUCACUGCCCAGCACCAAGCAGCUCACUGCCCAGCACCAAGCAGCUCACUGCCCAGCACCAAGCAGCUCACUGCCCAAGCCCUGUGCUUUUUUUCUUCAUCUUUCCCAAUUGCCUUGGUAAGGCAGCCUCUAAUAAUACUUAUAACAUUCAUACAUUAUAGCUUGGUGUGAUGUAAUCAAAUCAUUGUUUAAUAAGAGCAGUAGGCCUACAUGUUUGGAUAGUAGUAAUUUACCCAAACGAGUGCUUCGAGGGUAAUUGAUAUAAUGUUGUGUAACAGACAGAAACAAAGAUGGCAGACAGUAAUUGUAAUUACACGUGUAUAGUCUUUUGUUGUGAGAUGUGGCGUGACAUCACUGUGCAGGUUCCCUGCAGGGAUGUCUUUGAGCUGCCAGCCAAGCUUCAGCUGAACAUAAAUCAGGAAAAUGUUUUUUCGCUGACGAUCAGAAUCAGUUCUACUGGCUGAAAUUGUCUUGUUACUAGUGCUAUGGAAUAUCCUUGUUGCAUAAUUUAACAUUUGGGUAUUCAUCAAUAACCCAUUUUGAGAGCUUGGGACUAUAAGGUUCUAUCUACAAAAAGAUAAUUCGGAGAUAAUUGGCUUUAAUGUUCCGAACCCUCAUUGGUUUGAAUGGUGUCAGCAAUUUUUAUAUUGUAUUCUUUUGAACUUAACAACACACUGGAUAAAGAAAUGAGCCCUAAUUGAGGUCAGUAUCAUUGACGUCAGGUUAGGUCAGUUAGGUCCUUAUUAAAAGUGGGUAGAUUAAAUCUACUGUACAGCAUAAAAAGGUGUGUUUUGUUUGAGGAGGCGCCCUUUACCUUGUUUAAUUACCUUGUUUGAGGAGUCGCCCUUUACGUUGUUUAAUUAUGUUGUUUGAGGAGGGGCCUUUACGUUGUUUAAUUAUGUUGUUUGAGGAGGCGCCCUUUACAUUGUUUAAUUACGUUGUUUGAGGAGUCGCCCUUUACAUUGUUUAAUUACGUUGUUUGAGGAGUCGCCCUUUACGUUGUUUAAUUGCGUUGUUUGAGGAGUCGCCCUUUACAUUGUUUCAUACACUUACCUUACAAGAGGUAAGGUAAGUGAAACUGCAAUUUGAAAUAAUUUAGUGUGUCACAAUAUCAUUAAUUUCAAUCUUGGCAAAUAAAACAAUGCUUCUAUAACACUUGUUUAUUCUCUGUCCUUAGAUGUGGAACAUUGCUGCAUGGUGUUAGUGGUGGCAGGGUCUGCCUCUUGCUACACCGCCUGCUGAUGGAAAAGUCUGCUCUUGUCAGUCAACCUGCUGUAUGACCAAUGGAGGAUACUCCUGCUGUCCAGUUCCCUGUGCAGUGUGUUGCUCUGACAUGUGUUGCUCUGACCCACUGUUGCCCGUCCGGAUUCAGCUGCAACACCACGGACCAGAUGUGUACGAAAGAUGACCAACCAUGGAACAGCGUGCCCAUGCUGAAGAAGGUGGCUGCAGAGGAACCAUGCUCUCCUGUCUCUCCCCCACUCAAGUCUGAUAUCGUCCCAGAGCAAUGCUGCUCUGUGGUGCACAGUGAUGGCUCAAAUAUCUGCCCUGCUGCCGUCAACCCGAGGGCGGGUGGAGCUGCUGUCCAUUUCCCCCUAGCGCGUGCUGUCUGGAUGGCGUCCACUGCUGUUCUUAUGGUUAUAAGUGUGACCGCAUACACACUAAGUGUCUGAAGUCCGACGGCCUGAGGUACCCCUUUAUACCGAGGCAGGCCCAGGUCCUUUCUAUGAUCAAAGUCACCAAGAUCUCCAAGCCGGAUAACAAGGUCAACGACCAGCAGGUCCCAUGGACACCACGUGGUCGCGGUUGACAUCACCCCACAUAGCUCGGUCAUUCACUUCCACGGGAAAUCAACUGACCUCCAGCUCCUAUAACCCGUUGCGGCAAGGGAAACACUGGCAAUUACUGUUGUCCACAGCCAUCUAAGCAAAACUAAUGUGUUUUUCUUUUGAAUUACAUUUAGCCUAACUGCUGAGAUUGGGAUUGUACACUUUUUGUGAAUGUAUUAUAUGUACAAGAAUGGUGAAUCAUGCCACCCACUCAUUGUUGAUUUAAAAAACAGACAGGUCAAUAAAAUAAAUUAUAAUUAUUGUAUCUAUUUACUGGGUUGGGGUUAUAGGGUAACAUGGUUUCAACAUCUUGUACUGGUUUUUCUACCACUGCUAACUAGCCAGUACUACCGCUGAUUUAAAAUGUUUUAUGCAAAUAUAAAUUAUGCACAUGGAAGCAGUACACACACUCUUUUUGGCUGCUGUCAUCAAAACUGAAGCAGACUCCUGGGGGACCAGAGAGACAGGAGGCAGGGAAUAGCCUGGACAGAGGGAACAUUCUGGAAUUCUGCACAUCUGCUGGAGGCUACUGCAUAAAUGUUGGUCACCCCUAAGAAUUGUGACUUGUUUGACUUUAUGUUUAGGUAAAACAAUUAUGCAUU